CAUUUGGUAGCAAUCGCUUAUAUUGUGAAGAAUCGAAAUGUUUAUUUGUACAAUCUUUCGGAAAUGAGAUGUCGUCAACUCUUUUUGGACCCAUUUUAACUAGGUAAUCUCUUGUUCUUUGAUCAACGAUUUUCCAAUUCCCAGGAUCAUCCAAAUUUAGAGAAAAGCAAUCAUCUUCUUCCUUAUCAUCUACUUCAUUAACAAGGGCAGGUUUCAUCACUUCUUCUUCCUUAUCAUCUACUUCAUUAACAAGGGCAGGUUUCAUCACUUCUUCUUCCUUAUCAUCUACUUCAUUAACAAGGGCAGGUUUCAUCACUUCUUCUUCCUUAUCAUCUACUUCAUUAAUAUAGACAGGUUGAUUCACUUCUUCAUUCUUAUCAUCUACUUCGUUAACAUGGGCAUGUUGAAUCUCUACUUCAUCCUCAUUCAACGCAUUCACAUUGUUGCUUUUGAAAUACUUGCCAAUAUCCCUUGCUUGACUUUCAAUUAAUACAAUUUCAUUUCGUUUCCUUUUUUUCUCUUGAGCACCAGACUCAUAUUUAGGAGACAUAGUGUAUGAAUCCAUAUCUAAUGCUCAAUGAUUAACCUGAAAAAUAAUUACAAAAUAUCUCAAUCAUACCACAAUUACAAUUUUCAAUAUAGUUACUACGUGCAUAAGUGCAAUUGUUC
rnacentral:lncRNA from 1 species